rnacentral:tmRNA from 1 species
GGGGGCGAAUGGCUUCGACCGGAUGGCGGAUCGACAAGCUGCAUGCCCAGGACGCCGGGUGGCCUGGUUAAUCAUCCGGCGCUAAACUCAAUUGGCAACUAUCAGUUGCGCAUGGCUGCCUAAUUAGGCGGCCCGUCCUGCCCGACUUUGCCUGCGGGUUGGUCAAGGGCGUCAGACAGCGGGCUGGCCACCGCCGGUUUUUCGGGCCGGCGGGGCGAGAACUCUCCGAAAUAGCCGACUCACGAGCCUGUCGCUUGGCGCUUGGGAAGGCGAAUCGAUAAUAGAGCGACUACGCAUGUAGAGGCUUGUCCUGAAACAUCUCGGGACGGGGGUUCGAAUCCCCCCGCCUCCAUUC